GUAAUCCGGAUCGAGGACAGUGUAUGGUGGGCAGUUUGACUGGGGCGGUCUCCUCCUAAAGAGUAACGGAGGAGUACGAAGGUGCGCUCAGACCGGUCGGAAAUCGGUCGUAGAGUAUAAAGGCAAAAGCGCGCUUGACUGCGAGACAGACACGUCGAGCAGGUACGAAAGUAGGUCUUAGUGAUCCGGUGGUUCUGUAUGGAAGGGCCAUCGCUCAACGGAUAAAAGGUACUCCGGGGAUAACAGGCUGAUACCGCCCAAGAGUUCAUAUCGACGGCGGUGUUUGGCACCUCGAUGUCGGCUCAUCACAUCCUGGGGCUGAAGCCGGUCCCAAGGGUAUGGCUGUUCGCCAUUUAAAGUGGUACGCGAGCUGGGUUUAGAACGUCGUGAGACAGUUCGGUCCCUAUCUGCCGUGGACGUUUGAGAUUUGAGAGGGGCUGCUCCUAGUACGAGAGGACCGG
rnacentral:rRNA from 1 species